ensembl:lncRNA
CAACUCCAGCAGGCUCUUGCCUCCCUCCCUUCCCCCAGACUGCUUUCAUCAAGAUCUCCAGGGCCCUCCAUGAUGCUAAAUUCAAUUCCUAGUCCCCAUCAGCCCUCUGCCCACCAGCUGCGUUUGACACAAUGGGCCUCUCUCUGUCCUGAGACACCUUCUUCACUUAGUCUCCAGGACACUUCCUUUGCCGGAUUCCUCUCCUGAUUCUCAGGCUGUUCUUCUCAGUCUCUUUUGCUGGCUCACCUUCACCUCUCUAAUGUCUAAAUGGUGGUGUUCCCUAGAGUUCAUUUCUUAACUCCUAUUUUCUACCUAUACUUACUCCACGGCGUUCUCAUCCUGUCCCGUGGAUUUAAAUACCGUCUACAUGUUGAUGAUUCCUGGCUCUAGUCCAGACCUCUCUCUUUAGUUUGUAUAUCUAAAUGCCUACUUGAUAUCCCCAUUGGAAUGUCUAACAGACAUCUCAGCUGAACCAUGUCCAAAACUGAGCUUCUAAUCUUUCCUGCAAACCUGCUUUCCUACAGUCCAUCUUCCCCAUCUCAGUUAAUGGCAACUCUAUUUUUGCAGUUGUUUAGGUAAAAAAAAAAACUUGGUGUUAUCUCUCACACUCCACAAGGAAUGUGUCAGGAAGCCCCAUCAGCUCUACUUUCAGGAGGUCUCCAGAAUCCAACCACUUCUCACCAAGCUGUUCCCCGUCACUACCACCUCUUGCCUGGAUUACUACAGUGACGUGUAACCAGUGUCCAUGCUUCAUGCCCUCAUUUGCUUCUAGUGUAAGUUGGAUUAUGUCACUCUGCUCAGAACCCGCCUCCAUCUCACACCCUAUAAAAGCCACAAUCCUUACAGUGAAGCAUAAGGCUCUGCAUGGGGCCCUGUUUCCUCUCUAAACCUUAUCUUGUUCUAUCUCCCUCCUGCUCUCCUGGGUCCUGCUCUACGUUCCUCGAACAUGCCCAGCCUAGUAUCACCUCAAAGCCUUUGAACUUCUUGUUUCCUCUCCCUAGAAUGCUCUUCCUCCUGACAUCCCUCCCCAAGGCUUGAUUUGCUCAUUUCAUUUAGGUCCUCACUGCUCGGAGAGGUCUACCUUGACUCCUCCAUCUAAAACAUCAACUACUGACUUUUCUUUUUUGUUUUUUUUGAGGAAGAUUAGCCCUGAGCUAACAUCUGCUGCCAAUCCUCCUCUUUUUGCUGAGGAAGACUUGUCCUGAGCUAACAUCUGUGCCCAUCUUCCUCUACUUUCUGUGUGGGACGCCUGCCACAGCAUGGCUUGCCGAGAAGUCUGUAGGUCCGCACCUGGAAUCCUAACUGGCGAACCCCGGGCCGCCAAAGCAGAACAUGCGAUCUUAACCACUGUGCCACGGGGCUGGCCCCAACUCCUCACUUUUCUUAUCCUCUGAUCCUGCUUUAUUUUCUUUUCCUUAGCACUAAUCACUAACAUGUUAUUUAUUUUAUUUAUUUACAUAUUGUAACAGCUAAAAUUUUAUGCGUUAGUUUGACUAGGUGCCCAGAUACUUGGUUAAACAUUCUGGGUGUGUCUAUGAGAGUAUUUCUGGAUGAGAUUAACAUUUGAAUCAGCAGGCUGAGUAAAGCAGAUUGCCCUCACCAAUGUGGAUGGGCCUCAUCCAAUCCAUAGAGGCCUGAAUAGAAUUAAAGGCAGAGUAAGAAAGAGUUCACUGUGACAUUGACCUUCUCCUGCCUUCGGACUUGGACUGGGACCGGAACUUAUACCAUAGGCUCUCCUGGUUAUCAGGCCUUUAGAUUCGGACUGGAAUUAGACCGUCCGCUCUCCUGCAUCUUCAGCCUGCCAACCGCAGAUCUUGGGACUUCUUAGUCUCCAUAACCAUGUGAGAGGAGACUGCCAGGAAGACUGAAAGAGGAGGUUCUUCCCGACGGGGGAACAGCAUGUGAAAAGGCAUGGAAGCAAGGAAGGCCCUGGAUGAGUGGGGAAAGGCCAGCUGUUUCAUUUUGUUGGAAGUGUCCAGCCUUGAAAACAAGCAAGCACUCCGUAAGGGCCUUCCAGAGGCCAGUGCUUUCCUGCAUCCUGGGAUUCAACAACAGUGGAAAGAGUCUACACGUGAGGAAACUCUCCAGCAGGGCAUACUCAACUUGCCAAUGUCACACAGCUAGGACAGUCUCCAAAGGUCCAGGCACUUUCCACAACUCAGAACCUGCAUGGAGUGGCUGGCAGAGUUUAAGUGUCACGGAUCUCUACACCUUUUGUGGUUCUCUUAUGGUCAAGAGUCUGCGAGUAAGCCUGGAGUGGUCAGGCUGCCCCUAUGAUUUUACCAUCGAGCACUCACAAAGACAUCUGGGGUUAGUGGGUGCUGAAAUCUAGCUAAUUCACCAAGUCAUAUGCCCUGGCAAAAGGGGGCUGCAUCCAUGGGAAGAGGGGGCACUUGUGUGUGCGUGUGUAUACAAAGGAGGCUUCUACACAAGAUUUGAGCCCACUAGGAUGGAGGGUAGCCAUGUUUCUAAUUCUGUACAAAGUCACCAUAGAGGUCAGAGAGUGCCCUUGGAGGGUGGAUAUAAGUCUAGGAUGACAAAUAGUUUUCAUCCUCUGGGUCAACUCCACCCUUAGUGGCGACUCAGAAUGCUGUGUUGAGGAGGACUCUGAAGUCACAUUUGGGAAGGAAUUCUGCACUCAGUGAUUUCUGUCCCAGGUUGGGGAUGGGGCAGUGGUGUAUGCAGGAGAGUAUCUGCCUUUAGCUAUCACUGCUGUAAGCUGACACCUUCUGUGUCAACACACAGCCCUAAGGAACCCAAUGCCCUGCCCUGGCCCAGAGGGGAGGCAAACCUCAGCCUUCCCAGGGUGUACUUUGCUGUUUAUUCC